UUUGUGUGUCUGUGUCUCCCUCUGUGUGUGUGUGUGUGUCUGAGGGGUUGGGGGGAACAAGGCUCCAGUCUAACGCAGACAGAUUAACCAGGGGUUGCGGGGAUCCGGGACGGUUUGCGGUUUUGUGAGCUAUUUUCUGUUUAAAUCUGGGACAGUCUCCGGGGCAGCUGUUCCUCAGGAGAGAAUCUACAGCUUCCUCUUUAAUAACAAGGAAUGCUGCUAUUCCAGGGAUUGGGAAGACAGAGUGAACGCAGAGUCCCAACCUCUCCUCCUCCUCCUGCUCCUGCUGCGUUAAGGAACUUUUGAUCUAUCCUACUUUGUAUCUGAAGAAUAACUCAGCGUGGAUAGAUAAAUACUGGUCCGGCUGGUGACACCCACAUUCCAGAAAUGAAUUAAAAGAAAACCUCUCCGAUGCUUCUAAUGUAUUUGAAUCACCUCAUU